rnacentral:tRNA from 1 species
GGAGGGGUCGCAUAGUGGCCUAGUGCGCCUGCUUGGAAAGCAGGUAGACCCGUUAAAAGGUCUCGAGGGUUCGAAUCCCUCCCUCUCCGCCA